UGACCCUGGCAGUGGGCAAAGAGACAUCUUGUUGGUGGUUUUGUUGUUAUAUCAGUCAUGGGCAGAGCAGAUAUCAGUCCUUUUUUUCAUCCUAGCUUGAUGACUUGCUUAGUGGCCAAAGCUGUUUUUUGUCUAGGAUACAUAA